rnacentral:rRNA from 1 species
CAGUGGGGAAUUUUGGACAAUGGGGGCAACCCUGAUCCAGCAAUGCCGCGUGUGUGAAGAAGGCCUUCGGGUUGUAAAGCACUUUUGUCCGGGAAGAAAUCCUUUUCGAUAAUACCGAAGGGGGAUGACGGUACCGGAAGAAUAAGCACCGGCUAACUACGUGCCAGCAGCCGCGGUAAUACGUAGGGUGCGAGCGUUAAUCGGAAUUACUGGGCGUAAAGCGUGCGCAGGCGGUGAUGUAAGACCGAUGUGAAAUCCCCGGGCUUAACCUGGGAACUGCAUUGGUGACUGCAUCGCUGGAGUAUGGCAGAGGGGGGUAGAAUUCCACGUGUAGCAGUGAAAUGCGUAGAGAUGUGGAGGAAUACCGAUGGCGAAGGCAGCCCCCUGGGCCAAUACUGACGCUCAUGCACGAAAGCGUGGGGAGCAAACAGGAUUAGAUACCCUGGUAGUCCACGCCCUAAACGAUGUCAACUGGUUGUCGGGCCUUCAU